UACAGAGGGUGCGAGCGUUAAUCGGAAUUACUGGGCGUAAAGCGCACGUAGGUGGCGACGUAAGUCGGGUGUGAAAGCCCCGGGCUCAACCUGGGAAUUGCAUUCGAGACUGCAUUGCUGGAGUGCGGAAGAGGAAGGCGGAAUUCCCGGUGUAGCGGUGAAAUGCGUAGAUAUCUGGAGGAACAUCGGUGGCGAAGGCGGCAUCCUGGACCGAUACUGACGCUGAGGCGCGAAAGCCAGGGGAGCAAACGGG
rnacentral:rRNA from 1 species